AUUGAACGCUGGCGGCAUGCCUUACACAUGCAAGUCGAACGGCAGCACGGGAGCUUGCUCCUGGUGGCGAGUGGCGAACGGGUGAGUAAUACAUCGGAACGUACCCUGAAGUGGGGGAUAACGUAGCGAAAGUUACGCUAAUACCGCAUAUUCUGUGAGCAGGAAAGAGGGGGAUCGCAAGACCUCUUGCUUUAGGAGCGGCCGAUGUCGGAUUAGCUAGUUGGUGAGGUAAAGGCUCACCAAGGCGACGAUCCGUAGCGGGUCUGAGAGGAUGAUCCGCCACACUGGGACUGAGACACGGCCCAGACACCUACGGGUGGCUGCAGUCGAGAAUAUUCCCCAAUGGCCGAAAGGCUGAGGGAGCGACGCCGCGUGCAGGAAUAAGGCCU
rnacentral:rRNA from 1 species